rnacentral:rRNA from 1 species
UACGUAGGGGGCAAGCGUUGUCCGGAAUCAUUGGGCGUAAAGCGCGUGUAGGCGGCCCGGUAAGUCUGCUGUGAAAGUCCAGGGCUCAACCCUGGAAUGCCGGUGGAUACUGUCGGGCUCGAGUCCGGAAGAGGCGAGUGGAAUUCCUGGUGUAGCGGUGAAAUGCGCAGAUAUCAGGAGGAACACCGAUGGCGAAGGCAGCUCGCUGGGACGGUACUGACGCUGAGACGCGAAAGCGUGGGGAGCAAACAGG